CGGGGAGUAGCUCAGCUGGCAGAGCGCACGGUUCGGGACCGUGAGGCCGUGGGUUCAAAUCCCACCUCCCCGA
rnacentral:tRNA from 1 species